CUGCCAUAGUCAUAUGCUSGUCUAA
rnacentral:rRNA from 1 species